UACAGAGGGGGCAAGCGUUGUUCGGAAUUACUGGGCGUAAAGGGCGCGUAGGCGGCCUUCUAAGUCGAACGUGAAAUCCCUGGGCUUAACCCAGGAACUGCGUCCGAUACUGGAAGGCUUGAAUCCGGGAGAGGGAUGCGGAAUUCCAGGUGUAGCGGUGAAAUGCGUAGAUAUCUGGAGGAACACCGGUGGCGAAGGCGGCAUCCUGGACCGGUAUUGACGCUGAGGCGCGAAAACCAGGGGAGCAAACGGG
rnacentral:rRNA from 1 species